rnacentral:lncRNA from 1 species
AUCCCUCAACCCUAAAAAUCCUACAUCUCCUCAUUCUUGAAAAAACUAGUGACACACACACUCAAAAAAAGAAGAACGAUCAGAGAUGGAAAUCGGCUGCCUCCCUCAAAGACUCAACUCCUCCCAAUUUCCAACAAUACCUCCUAGCUUCAAAGAGCUAAAAUUUUCCGCCUCCAACUCCAAAAAUCAUCCAUACUCUCCAACACCCAGCAGCCUAAACACACACACAUAUAUAGAAUGAGAUAAAAAAAAAGGGGAAACGACAAAGAGGGGGAGGGGAAUUGAACGAAAAAUCAGAGAGGAAAUCUUGAGAGAAAAGGUUUGAGAUAAGGUUCUUCUCAUUCUUCCAUCUUGAUUCUUUUUUGAUUGUUUUUCAGAAAAUACAGACCAAAAAAAAUUCUCCAUUUCUUGUCCUCAAAUUCAAAAAAAUAUAUUUCUUCUUUCAGUUUGGAUUUUGAUUUCCAUAUGGAGUUUGAUUGAAGACGUAUUCGAGUCGAAGUUCCUCCUCUAUUCUGAGUUCCCCGCCGUGAGUAGAUUUCCGUUUUGGUUCGCGAUUAUUGUUAGAUUUUGCUUCAGAUUGUAUUCAAAGGCUUAUUUUUGAAUAAAAGUUCAAGAGAAAUUGGCUGAAAUUUUGCUAUUCGCUGCUGAUUAUUUCUCAAAUGAACUCAAGGCAUUAGGUACAUACCCACUAAUUUGUCAUUUACCUUUUUUAAUCAAUGAUUUGAAUUGCUUGAAAGGUCGUGAAUCUAUUGCUUCUGCUGUUCCUUGGGUAUAUAUACACCUAAUAGGAUACUCAAUUGAUUUAAAUUUUACCCGUCAUGCUUAAACUAAUUGUGAUUUUGUGACUAGUCAUAAUUUGGGGAAGUGAAGGCUCAUCUGUGAGAAUAUUAAACUGUGUAUGUUCUUCAGUUGAUUCUGUGAGUGAUACUGGGUGUUUGAAGAACCUCGCUGUCAAAUUAUAAUCCAUGUAAUUCAUUAUUGUAAACCCCAAAGGCCUUGAGUAAAUAUGUUGUUUAAUAUAAUGUAUGAAUUGAGAUGUUAUUAACUAGGAACUAAUAUUCACACUGUUUCAUUCGAAUCCCUACCAUGUUUAACCAUGAAUGUGCUUAAGAGUUUUAUGGAUAAGUUUAUUAAUCUGAUGUCAUAUGUAGAAAUAGAAAAAAAAUUAUUUUCAUUUAUUAGAUCCAAAAAAGGAAAAUAACAAAUUGAAGUCUUGGAAUGAAAUGUGUGGUCUAGUUGUUAAAAGAUUUGGACCGGAAUAACCUUCAUUGCACCUUGGGCUUUUAGUUAAAUGCUGACAUUUUUUUGUGUAAUCUCAAACUUAGGAAAGAAAUAAAUCUUGAAUAAUCUCUAGUAUGCUUUAGGCGCGUAUUAAUAAAUAAAUUAUCGUGAUUAUAUACACGUGCGCGUGAUAUAGUUAUAAUUUUUAAACUUAAAACUAAGGUACACGUUCGCAUGACUUUGUCCAAAAAAUCUUAAUAAUUAAUAAAGCGUGAUAGAUUGUGUACACAUAUGCGUGACAUGAUUUUAGCUCCCCAAAUAAAAGGGAUUUACGCACAUGUAAUCCGUUUCAAAGAUUAAAUCCAUAAAUGCCAUAAUCUAAAAGCGGUAGAAGGUAAAAUUUACAUAGGUUCUAAAAUAAAAAAUAUUAAACAAUUUAAUUAAUCCAGGUAUGAUUAAAGAGACCGUGCUAAAACCACAGAACCCGAGAAUGCAUAUCUCCUUCUCCCGGAUUAACAAAAUUUCUUACCUGGUCUUCUGGUUUCGAAGACUUUAGAGCAGAUUCAAACUUUCCCUGAUUUGGGAUUUAAAAUAAAUCGGUGACUUUGGAUACCAUAAAUUAUUCCAAGUGACGACUUUGAAUUAAAUAAAUUAUCCCAUUUCGAUUAAUGUCAAUUAGAGAAACUCCCCAUCCCUAUACCCUCGGGAAAAAAGAGGUGUGACAAUGAACGUUGUUGGAGCAUUUGUCAUCCCAAAAGACAUCACAAGGAACUCACAAUGGCCAUAACGGGUCCUAAACGCUGUCGUAAGAAUAUCCGGGUCCCGAAUCUUCAACUGGUGAUACCCAAACCUCAAAUCAAUCUUGGAGAACACCCUCGCUCCCUGAAGCUGGUCAAAUAGGUCAUCAAAGGAUACUUGUUCUUGAUUGUGACUUUGUUGAAUUACCUAUAAUCAAUAGACAUUCCCAUAAUACUAUCCUUCUUCUUCAUGAACAGAAUAGGUGCACCCCAAGGUGACACACUAGGCCUAAAAAACCCCUUCUCAAGGAGUUCCUAAAUCUACUCCCUCAACUCCUUCAACUCAAUCGGUGCCAUACGGUAUGGAGGAAUAGAAAUACGCUGAGUGCCUGGCACUAAGUCAAUACCAAAAUCAAUGUCCCUAUUGGGUGACACGCCUGACAGGUCUGCAAGAAAUAUAUCCGGAAACUCUUGCACCACCUGAACAGAAUCAAUAGUAGGGGUCUCAGCACUAACAUCCCUUACAAAGGCCAAAUAAGAUAAACAAUCCUUCCCAACCAUCCGCGGGGCCCUUCAAGUAUGAAAUCACUCUACUGGGAACAUAGUCUAAUGAACCAUGCCACUCAAUCCAUGGCAACCCUGACAUCACCAACAUCACAGUCUUAGCAUGACAAUCCAAAACAGCAUGACAUGGAGACAACCAAUCCAUACCCAAAAUCACGUCAAAAUCAACUAUACUAAGUAGCAAGAGAUCAACUCUAGUCUCCAAUCUCCUAAUAGUCACUACACACAACCGAUACACUCUGUCCACAAUAAUAGUAUCACCCAUUGGCGUGGAUAUACGAACAGAUAAAGCUAAAGACUCACGGGGCAUAUCCAGAUAAUAAGUAAAAAACGACGAUAGAUAUGAAUAGGUAGAACCAGGGUCAAGCAAUAAAGAAGCUUCUCGAUGACAUAAUGAGACAAUACUUGUGAUCACUAUGUUUGAAGCGAUAACAUCUGGUCUGGCAGGGAGUGCAUAGAAAUGGGCCUGGGCGCCACCUAAUCAGUCCCCUCUCUAGGGCGACCCCUAUGAUGUUAUGAGGAUAUAAAAUAGUUUCCUUUGGUUACAUUAUGAUAACAUGUACAUUUUAACCUUUUGUUACUUCUGGGUUUAAUAAUUUAGGAUAUAAACAUUUUUGAAUGUUUAAUACUUUGCUAUUAUCAUGAAGAAAUUUGGCGGUAUAAAUAAAAACCCUCAAUGUUUAAUUCUCAUAUUUGAGCCAUGUGAAUGAAGAAAUACCUAGUAGGAAGUGUUUCCUCCUAAAAUAGGCUAUACACGAUUCAAAUCUAGAUUAGUCGAACUAGUAACUUUUGAAUACCAAGUAAUUAAAAAAAGUACUUUGUUAUCAGUGUGGUCGUGACAGAUUUCUUGUUUGAUUUUUGCUUACGUGACGACCCGACCAGUCGUCUCAUAAGUUUCCGCUCCGUUUCCCCCAUUUCUACUUUUUUAUGCUUCGUUAUUCAUGUUUUAUGUGAGCGAGUUGGGUAGUUUGCGUUCAGAGUGGAUUUGGUAAGAAAUGAGACACUUAGUCUUUUUCAAGAAGGUUUAAGUUGGAAAAGUCAACCAGAUGUUGACUUAUGUAUUAGAGGGCUCAGAUGUGAGUUCCGAUAAUUUGGUUAGCUUCAAGAGGUGAUUUAUGACUUGGGAGUGUGAUCGGAAUUGGUUUUGGAGGUCCGGUGUAGAAUUAGGCUUGAAUUGGAGAAGUUAGUAUUUUGGCGAUCUCCGGUUGGUAGGUGAGAUUUUGAUCCAGGGGCCGGAAUAGAAUUUCGAAUGUUGCUGUAGCUUCAUUAUGUCAUUUGGGAGGUGUGUGCGAAAUUUUAGGUCAUUCAGACGUGGUUUGGUCGGGUUUUUGAUCGAAAACGUAUUUCGGGAGAUUUCUCAAAAAUUAGGCUUGAAUUUUGAUGAGUUUUGGGUAAUUUGAUGUUGUUUGAGGUGUUUUGAUGAUUGGAACAAGUUUGAAUAAGGUAUUGGGUCAUGUUGGUGCUUUUGGUUGAGAUCCCGGGGCCUCGAGGUGAAUUCGGAUGGUUAACGGGAAGAUUUUGGACUUAAGAGAUCUCAAAAGUUGUUGCUUCUAGUAUUUCAGAUCCAGCGGAUUGGGGACCGCAGGUGCGGUGCCGCACAUGUAGAAGAAGAGCCGCAGAAGCAGUUUGGGAAGAAUAGCCAAGGACCGUAGAUGCGUUACAAGGACCGCACCUACGGAGUCGCAGAUGCAGCUCGUGGACCGCAUAUGAGGAACCUGGCCUCCUAAGUGAUUUCUGUAGAUGCGCAGGAAUUACCGCAGAAGCGGUACCACAGGAGCGGUGGUGGGGUUGCAGAUGCGAAAAAGCCCUGAUUAGAAAGUUUAUAAGUUAUUUCAUCCGCGAUUUUGAGCCAUUUUUUCCUCCAUAGCUAAGUAUUUUGAGAGCUUUUUGAAGGUGAUUAAAGAGGGAUUCAAGGAGAAUUGAUUGGAGGUAAGACUUUCGAACAUAAAACUUGAAUCUAUUGUGAAAUUAACCUAGAGAUUCCUGGAACUUAAGCUAAAAAUGGAAGAAAUAGGGCUUGGGAUUUUGAGUUUUUUAUUUGGGGAUUUGGAGGACCAUUUGGGGUCGGAUUUGAGAACUUUCGAUAUGUAUGAACUCGUGGAAGGAUAAGGAACCUGUUGAUGUAAAAAUAUUAGAGUUUCGAGAAGUGGUCCUGAGGCUCGGGUUUUGCUAAUUUCGGGAUUAUUGAUAUUUUUCGAUUGUUUUUGCUUGGGCUUUGUUCCCUUAGCAUUUUGUGACGUAUUCGUUCUGAUUUUGGAUAGAUUCGAUGCGCGUGGAGGACGAUUCGAGGGUAAAAGGUGUCCCGAGCUAGAGUGGUAGCCGGUUCGAGGUGAGUAAUGAUCGUAAAUGAUGUCCUGAGGGUUUGAAACCCCAGAUUUGCAUAUCGUAGUGCUAUAUUUAGGUGAGACACGCACUGGAUGAUGAUCGUGGGGUCUUUUACUAUUGGGGAUUGAGACUUGGUCCGUCCCGAUUGAUGAUUUUACCACAUAUUUGAUUGAAACUUAUUUGUUAUCAUCAUGAUUUGGGCUAAUUGCCAUAUUUGGUCUUCUUGCCAACUAUUUGAACCCUUCGGGGAUUUUGACUGAUUUUCCUCACUCUACUUGUUAAAAAUCAUAUCCUCAGUCAUGUUUCUAUUUGUUUUAAACGAUUUGAGCUGGUUUUAUCAUACUAUUCCUAAAUGAGAGGAAUUUGUAGGCUGAGAUCCCUAUCUUCUAUUAUGGUGCCCGAGAGGCUGUGAGGUUAAUGACUGAGAGAGGUUGAGAACCCAAUGGUGAGGAUAUUAUAUAUGUUAUGGACCAGGAUGCACACCGCAGCUAUACAUAUAUUGGAUCGAGCUGCAUGUCGCAUCGAUAUAGCGCUUGGGCUGUUGGAGCCCCUCUAGAGUCUGCACACCCCCAGUGAGCGCAGUCGACUAUCUAUAUGGAUCGGGCUGCAUGCCGCAGUGGUUAUUCUGAUUUCUGUUAUUAUGAGAGAUAUAUGGGUCGAGAGCUGAUAUUGAGCACUAAGUGAUGAGAGUGAGUCCGAGGAGCUGACACUAUUCUGAGUGAUUGAUACUGUGCCCGAGGGGCGGAUUUCCACUUGUUAAUUGCCUACUAAAUUACAUGUUUUACCAGAUUUAAAGAGACUUUACUUGACUUCUUCACUGAUUUACUACUUUAUGUGAUUAUUACUGCUUUGAUAUAGAAUUGCUUUGUGCCUUUACGUGUUUUCUUGCUUUCAGCCAUUAUUUAUAUUUAUUAAUCACUGGGUCGGUGUACUAACAUUCUCCCUGCAUCGUGUGUACAGAUUCAGGCAUCGCAGAGUCUGUUCCUGAGUGUUGAUCUUCCUAGUUCAGACAGUGUUUUCGGAGACUACGAGGUAGCGGUUGGCGUCCGUAGCCCCCGUGCCUCCCUUAUCUUACUAUUUUCAUGUUCUUGAACUUCUGUAUCGGGGUUUAUAUCUAGUAGACUGGUAUCCGGAUUAAUUAGUUGCUCAUGACUUGUGACACCCCGAUUUGGGCUGUAUUAGGAUGGUUUCUAAUGUUGUUAUCAUUAUUUCCGCAUAUAUUUUAGAACUAUUUAUGGUAUUUAACUAUUUAAAUGAGGUGUUCUGUUUGGUUUGGCUGGCCUUGUCUUCACGAGAGGCGCCAUCACGAUCAAGUUUGGGGUUAGGGUCGUGACAAGUUGGUAUCAGAGCCUAGGUUACAUAGGUCUCACGAGUCAUGAGCAGGUUUAGUAGAGUCUCGCGGAUCGGUAUGGAGAUGUUUGUAUCUAUCCUCGAGAGGCUGCAGAACCUUUAGGAAAAACUUCAUAUUCUUGGAAUUCUUGUCGCGCGAACUUGUUGGUCCGAGUACUAAACUUCUGUUAUUCCAUUCUCUCACAGAUGUUGAGGACGCGAGCUACCGGACGAGGUGGACGACCACUAGUGCCACCAGUAGAGACCAC